CUGGGACCUAAGGAAGUUGAAGAAGUUGGUGGCCUUGAAGAAUUGGAAAAACAAAUCAAUAGGAUAAUAAAAUAAAUAGUACAAAAGGCAGCUAAGGAGAUCAAUUUUGGAUUACUUGUUAAUGGAGAUUGUAGAGAAACAAUAGUGGUCAGUGAAAUAUAUUAUUAUUCCAUAUUACAAUUGAAAAUGGGGUUGUCAAUUUUUCACUUUAUGUGGGAACUAUACCAAAAGCCACGGCAAUCUGUGUGUCACUGAUUGCCAUUGUAUUUGAGCCCUGAAAUCAUUUACAUACGUCGUGUAAUACUGUUUUUCGUUUGAGUUCGUAAAUUUGUGUUAUUGUACGUAUCUCAUAUACUUGCUCUAAUGCUCAACUCA
rnacentral:misc_RNA from 1 species